CGCAGGACGGAAGUGCGUCACGCGGGGCCCGCCCCGGCGCCCGGCUCUGGCGGUCCAGCCGGAGCCGCCAGCAGCGCCCCGACUGCAGGGGGGACCGCCGGCUGAGUUCUGGGUCACCCCGAAGCCGCUGGGCUGUGCUGGAGCCCACCUGGCCUGACCGCUCGCUCGGCCCCGUCCCCCAGCCGCGCUCAGGCCUCACCACUAGCUGACCUGGCGCUAGCACAUCCUCUUUUGGCCACACCCUGAAGAUCGAGAAGUGUUCUUCCACCCUAGGAGUUUCUCUGCAAAAGACUAUGAUGCCAGAGGUGCAGCAGCCAUAGUUCAGUGCUGAAGCAACAAACAGAACAGAGGCCUUCGUUCCAAGGAUGGCAGAGGAGAACAAUUGAAAGAGGCUAGAUCCUUUAUGGCAUCAUUGUGCAACCAUAUUAGGAUGCGGAGAUCUAGCCGGAUUGAGGAAUUUGCCCAAUAUCACAGAGCUAGUAAAUGGCAACACUGGGAUCUGAACACUAGCAUCAAGCUCUUCAACACCCUGCUGUAUGUGUCUCUUCAGCUGGUAGGAGUCCUAAUAUCAUAUCUAACAGCCCCGAUCCCUGGCAGACAACUUACACAGGUCCUAAUAUUACCAGAGCAUUGCCGUGCCUUUUUAAAAUUUGCUUUUCCUGCAGAGACACAAUCUCUCACUAUUAGUAUUAUUUUAUUAGAAACAGA